rnacentral:rRNA from 1 species
CGGGACGGGUGAGUAACGCGUGGAUAACCUGCCUCACACUGGGGGAUAACAGUUAGAAAUGACUGCUAAUACCGCAUAAGCGCACAGUACCGCAUGGUACAGUGUGAAAAACUCCGGUGGUGUGAGAUGGAUCCGCGUCUGAUUAGCCAGUUGGCGGGGUAACGGCCCACCAAAGCGACGAUCAGUAACCGACCUGAGAGGGUGACCGGCCACAUUGGGACUGAGACACGGCCCAA